GAAGGGAAGAGGAGAGGGAGGGAAAGGGUCACCACCGUGACACCGCCGCUGUUGUCGCCAUGUUGCAGUGGUGUUUUGUUGUUUGGGGUUUUUUUGCCUAAGUAGAGAGAGAACGUGAAGAGAGAGAAAGAAGGGGAGAGAGAAGAGAGAGGAGCGGUGACCAAAGGGUCACUACCACGGCCACCAUAGUUUUUGUUCGUGAUUGGUUCCGAUUGAACUAUUUGGGCAAUAAUCCUCUCUUGAAACAUGUUUUCCUCCUUUAUACCUUAGCCCUCUUAAAGAAAAUGUCAGGGCGGUGACCGGAGGGUCACCACCGUUGGAUUAAGUCCGUCUUGGCGACGACGAUUUUUAAACCCUGCGAUGAUGUUGGCUUGCUACCCGGUAUGGCAACUCCGGUUGCAACCGUCGCGCCACUGACCACCGGUGGAUUAAGUCUGUCUUGGCGACGACGAUUUUUAAGCCCUGCGAUGAUGUUGGCUUGCUACCUGGUAUGGCAACUCCGGUUGCAACCGUCGCGCCACUGAGAUGGUUCAACGACGAUGAUGAUCUUCUCAGAUCUGAGUCGAUUUGUGUUGGUAUUUUCGUUUUAUCUUUCUGAGAAAGAUUAGAUUAUUGUGUUAGUAGUGUUGGUCAUGUUGUUGUUGGUCGUGAUAUUGGUGGUUACAGACUGUGUAUAUGUCUAUUUGAUGGGAAUUUGAAACAUUGUCCGAUGAUGAUGGUUGCUUGCUACUUGGCGUGGCAACUCUGUUUGCACUCGUACCAGCGCUGAGCCGUAUUUGGCGAUGAUGAAGUGCCAUUCUGAGCCUUUUCGCUUUGUCAUGAGUCGAAUGGUUUUGUAGUUUCCGUUUUCUACAAGUUUUUUUUCGCUUUUUUACCCAUCAAUAAGUUAUUUAUUUAGAAGGUUGAAAUACAUACGUACAGGUUAUAUGUUUUGUUCAUCUUAUUCUUAUGUAUAUUUGUUUUUUAUGACAUCACACUUACAUUUGGUUAUUUAUUAAUAUAUUAAAUAGAUUAUUCUAUUUUCUUGAGAUUUGUUACGGGAAAACAUAGAAUAGUUCAAUGGCUAAUGAUUUAUUUGGCAUUUAUGGGCAACAGGUAUGUCAUGAAAUGCAAAUGAAUGACAAAUUUAGUGAUUUCUCCUGGAUCAGGGAAAACAUGUAUUAAACCGGAGCACUCGGAUCCAUGAUGACUCUCACAUCAGGAUUAUGCAGAGAUAUAAAGCCAAUAACAUACUUCUUGAUGACAAUAUUUCAACCAAGAAUUGGAGAUUUUGGGCUGGCUAGAUUUCUUCUUAAGGAUUAAGCUUAUGCAUGAAAGUUGUAUGAAAGAUCAAGAAUGGUUGACCUAAUAGAUACAAGAUUGAAGAGUGAUGGUUUUGUUGAAAGGGAUGUUAUGCAAACGAUUCGGGUAGCUCUAUUGUGUAUUCGGCUGUUCAGCCUCUUGCUAACUUGAGCCCACCAAUGCUAGAGAUUGUAUCAAUGUUAUAACAUGGAAGGUGGAAAUGGUCAAAACCACUCAGAAAGGAUCUUGGGAACCCAUAUCUGAUUAUUUCCCUUCUCCACUCGAAACAGAAUCACCCAACUUGACUCAACCUCCAAACUCUUGCAGCAAGGAAAGAAGAAUGAAAGAAUGGUAGAUAAAAAACACUAUUUGAUUGCAAGGUACUGACCCGUGUGUUAAUACAAGCAGGUAUCGUUCCACUUUAUCCCUAUGUGUAUGUGAAGAAAGUUUUAAUUUACAAAAUGUUUCUUCCUUUAAAUUCCAUAUUUGUGUAGAUAAAUUCAUGUUUUGGUUGAUUACCUUGAGAUGAUCCACACAACAUGUGGUUUGUUUGA